rnacentral:lncRNA from 1 species
GUUUACUUUUUGCGGCCUUUCUAGCAGAGUUAUGGUUUCCUUUAGCACCCUCCAUGCUUCUUAAAACAUUGAUGAAAUCUUUCUUUGAAACGGAGGAUAGCAGUUUAGCACGUUGCCUUUCAGAUCUUGCACCUUUCUUCACCUUCUCGUCAACGUUCUUUUGGUGUGUCCUGACAGCAUUAAAUAACUGCACAACACCUCUUGUGGCAAUUCUCUGAAGAUUUCUCUCUCUGUCUCUGUCUUUGACAACAUCUGGCUUCACUCGGCACAUCAUUUCCCACUCCCUCUUUUUAUCGAGCUUCCUCCUCUUCUCCAGUCUUUCUUGUCUCUCCUUUUCUCUUUCCUUCUCCAGUUUUUUACUCUUGGCCAAGAUGAUGGACUUAUUUUGUGGUAUCUUUUUGUUGAGCACUUUUGCCAUGGCAUCUGCCCAGCCUGAACCUGGACCAGCUUUGGAGUUCGCAGUCUCUUCAGCCACAUGCUCAACAACUGCUGCUUCAUCCUCAUCAUCUCCAUCCAAGGCUUCAUCCCCA